UCUGACUUAAACCUGCAACACUGGGGUUAGGGGAAAGGGGUGAGCUAAAAAGCCCAGUGAGUAGAAACAGGAAAAACCAUUCAUUAAUUACAUGCUUUCAUGAAAUGCGUCAUAACACAAGUAAAUCACAUAACUUUCUCUGGUCCGUCUCGGGGUUCAUGCAGAUAACUAUUCCCCACGGAGUGUUUUCUGAGAGUACUCUUGAAUUGCUAGCAUCUUUACUCUCAAGGAUCGGACAUGACCCCAAAAAUCCCUCUGUCGGUGCCCGGCUCCCCAAAGAAGCUCACAGGACUAACAUAGACGUAACAUGGUGUCUGGUCCACAGAGAGCUCACAUGGACUUUCCUACAGGUACUCGUCCGACUCUCAAAGGACUAGACAAGACUCAAUGACAGAUAUGGGCUAUUGGAGUCGCCUUGGUCCAAACCUACCUCAGCAUCAACAUGAAAUAAUGCAAUGCAACAUAUUCGUGAACUAGUGCAAUCAACCUACUAUACAUAAUCAUGAUGCAUGCUCAUGC
rnacentral:lncRNA from 1 species